rnacentral:rRNA from 1 species
CAGUAGGGAAUCUUCGGCAAUGGACGAAAGUCUGACCGAGCAACGCCGCGUGAGUGAAGAAGGUUUUCGGAUCGUAGAACUCUGUUGGUAGAGAGGAACGUUGGUGAGAGUGGAAAGCUCAUCAAGUGACGGUAACUACCCAGAAAGGGACGGCUAACUACGUGCCAG